GAUGAACGCUGGCGGCGUGCCUAAUACAUGCAAGUCGAGCGAACAGACGAGGAGCUUGCUCCUCUGACGUUAGCGGCGGACGGGUGAGUAACACGUGGAUAACCUACCUAUAAGACUGGGAUAACUUCGGGAAACCGGAGCUAAUACCGGAUAAUAUAUUGAACCGCAUGGUUCAAUAGUGAAAGACGGUUUUGCUGUCACUUAUAGAUGGAUCCGCGCCGCAUUAGCUAGUUGGUAAGGUAACGGCUUACCAAGGCAACGAUGCGUAGCCGACCUGAGAGGGUGAUCGGCCACACUGGAACUGAGACACGGUCCAGACUCCUACGGGAGGCAGCAGUAGGGAAUCUUCCGCAAUGGGCGGAAGCCUGACGGAGCAACGCCGCGUGAGUGAUGAAGAUCUUCGGAUCGUAAAACUCUGUUAUUAGGGAAGAACAAAUGUGUAAGUAACUAUGCACGUAUUGACGGUACCUAAUCAGAAAGCCACGGCUAACUACGUG
rnacentral:rRNA from 1 species